rnacentral:rRNA from 1 species
UACGAAGGGGGCUAGCGUUGCUCGGAAUCACUGGGCGUAAAGGGUGCGUAGGCGGGUUUUUAAGUCAGAGGGGAAAUCCUGGAGCUCAACUCCAGAACUGCCUUUGAUACUGAAAGUCUUGAGUAUGGGAGAGGUGAGUGGAACUGCGAGUGUAGAGGUGAAAUUCGUGGAUAUUCGCAAGAACACCAGUGGCGAAGGCGGCUCACUGGCCCGGUACUGACGCUGAGGUGCGAAAGCGUGGGGAGCAAACAGG